rnacentral:lncRNA from 1 species
CGGCUCCAUGCGAAGCGAGAGGCGCGCGCGGUGCGCUGUUGCCUGCCGACGGGAUGGCUGGCUGACGCACAUGUGUGGAGAAUAUGCCAGAAAAACUCAUCGGGAGAAGAAGCCACAAGAGUAUGGGCCUGUGCGUGACCCUGUAUCUGUCUUCACUUCCCUCUCUCUGGACACUGAGAUGGAAAAAACUCGUGGCUUAUUCUGUGAGGAUUACCGACUGCUUCACUGCAACCGCUUCAGUGAGAGAAAUGAUUUUCGGAUUUGCAUCUAUUAGAAAUGUUAAGAAAAGAACUUCUAAGCACAGGAGGAGGUUUGGUGGCGGUAGCGCUUUCUUUCAGUAAUGGGUUAAAGGUUUGUGUAGUAAAGUGGUGCCCUUACGUGCAGUCUGCUUUUGGUGAUCAGAGUCCAGUGGCCAGCAGUUACUGUGUUUCAUUUUGCUGUUUCCCAUGUUUUUACCCUAAGACAUCAUGCAUAAUUGUGAUUAUUGAGUGAUUCCUUUCCAUACACCUCUAAGAUUUAUCACUCGUUUACCGUGCUUGUACUUCUGUGAGCUGUGCCGCACUCCACUGUUGUGUUCUAUAGAGUUACAGAGUACACACCUCCUCUCGUGUGAGACGUCUAUUCUCACUGGCAUGUUCUCUUGCUUGCCGGAGGAGAAGAGGAGUGGGGAGCUGGGAUGAAGGAGGCAGGCUCAUUCUCGGCCUCCCCUCCCGCUACAUUUGCCAUGCAAAAACUCAAAACUGGAUUGAUCCCGGUUCACUUCAGAGAAUCCACACUUCAGGUUUUCCUUAGGACUUCAUCGUGGAGAUUCAUUGAUAUAAAAAAACAUAAAAACUCCAUUUACAACCUGUUUUUGAUCACAAGAUGGGAAAUGGGCAAGGGGAUGAGAGGGCACCUUCAGUAACCUUCAGCUGGAGAUCACUUGAACAGCUAAGGAUCACCUGAGGAAAAACUCUGCAACAGGAAUGGAAAUGUAAACGUUAUCUUAUGAUAUUGGGACAAUAACAAGCAAAAAUGACCUUUCCCCACUUAUGUGGAGCUCUAGCCUCACACCUCCUGUGUUUUG